rnacentral:misc_RNA from 1 species
AAUGGUGGAGCAACACGAGAGGGACUAUUAAACCAAGAGUCUCGAAAGAGAACAGAUCACUCUGCAACUCCAUUGUCCAGGAUGAUGCCACCUCGGAUGCUGCUUGUCCCAGAAAGAAUCCCUCCUGACUUUUGGACUAGUGCUCCAACUAGUCCUUAUGCAAGUCCUACACAUAGACAACUGAAAAGUUGUGAUCAUAUAACGAGUCCUCUUUUCGUCACACCUCCUAGUGUAUUUCAAGUUUGGUCUGCCCCUGAGAUGCCUCCUUCAGAAGCCCCUCAUGGUUUAGGCUUUUCUUAUAACCAUGCUUUUAGUGUUGAUAACUCUCCUCUUCACAGUCCAAGA